UUAAAACAUAGGUUUCUUUUUUUUUAUUUCCCCGAUUCAUUCCUCCUUCGCCCGAAUCACCGCCGCCCUCUCCCUCUCACGACGACUCCUCCUCCCGAUUUCCCCAUCUCCUUCCCUGAUCGUCCUCUGCCCCCAUCGAGCAUCGGCGCUAGCACUCUUCACAGUCGCAACACCACCUCCUCUCCCUUCUCUCCGCGUCUCCUCCAACCACCACGAGCCGACGCUAGGUCACCGCCGCUUUGUUCCAUCUCCUUCUCCGAUCCUGUCGUCGUGCCCUAAAUCCACUGUCGGUCGUCGAAUCCAAGCGGAGCAGCAGCAAUUUGGUCAAGGAGGUUCAUCACUUCUUCCUCUCCACCAGAUCUUGAUUCCUUGUCUUCGUCAGCAUAGGUCUGCAGCCGAUCCUUUGAGAGGGAUGGACCAUCCAUCUCCUUCUCUGUUUUCCCGAUCCUCCCAUUCCACCGCCAGUUCCUUCUUCAUCCAUCUCUUCAGUCAUCUUCUGUUUACUCUCCAGUAAAGGGGAAGCGACCGACACCAAUUUAGUGUAGCUCCGACCACUAUUUUCCGACAGUAGCUACACCUAGCUCUGCCCAUAGGUUCUGGCAACAAAUUGCUCUAGCCAAGAGUUAACAGCGGAGCAUCCAGAUUUAGGACUUUGUUACGGGACAAGCGUCAUGACAUGGGAUUUAUUUGACACGCGCUAUAUUUGAGGCGGGUACCUUUGACUUAUCUCUUUUGAUAUUGUCAUUAUAAUAUGUGUAGUAAUUUAUAGCUAUUAGUAAUGGUUGUGUUUUUAGCCACCAUUGGUAUGUCACUACUUGAUACCUAUAGUAUGCCUUUGUUUGUUAUUAUCUGUUAUGCAUUUAGACUUAUAUUCUUUUGUUCUUACCAUGUGUACUUAUGAUCAUAUAAAUAGUGACAUACAUUGUCUUACUGUGUACAUGACUAGUUACUAGACAUACUUGACAUGUGUACCUAGUUUCAUGAUACUUAGAUCCUUGUUAGAUUUCUUUACCUUUUGAUAUAUAUUAUGAAGGUGUCAGAAUUUACAUGUUGUAGUGUCAUGCACCAUCUUGCAUGAUUGCAUGCUGAGUGAUUGUCGGUUCCAUUGUUGUUGAGCACAUCGUCAGUUACAUGAUCUACACACACAACCACUCAUGGGUUAGUGGUAAAUCAGGCAGGGUGUGUGCAAUUUUCUCUGUCAGGGCUCCGUUGGUUCGCUCAUGGGUAGCGAUGAUUGCAGCGUGUAGUGGGAAGAGAUCUCUCCCCUUGACCAUGAUACAAGGAGAUGAGAGCUUAGGCUCCCCCACUAUGUUUGGGGUAGGAGGAUAGGUAUACUUCGACAGCAUCCUGUCCACUUCGUCAUUCAGGAGUAGUGAUGGCAAAAUGCACAGUUGUCAUAGCUCU